rnacentral:rRNA from 1 species
UACGGAGGGAGCUAGCGUUGUUCGGAAUUACUGGGCGUAAAGCGUACGUAGGCGGUUAUUCAAGUCAGAGGUGAAAGCCCGGGGCUCAACCCCGGAACUGCCUUUGAAACUAGAUAGCUAGAAUCUUGGAGAGGUCAGUGGAAUUCCUAGUGUAGAGGUGAAAUUCGUAGAUAUUCGGAAGAACACCAGUGGCGAAGGCGACUGACUGGACAAGUAUUGACGCUGAGGUACGAAAGCGUGGGGAGCAAACAGG